rnacentral:lncRNA from 1 species
GCCCUCCACAGCAUCUCAGCCGGACUUGCGGGCAACUCACGAGUUCUCUAUAGCUGGGUUCUGAUUCAGACAGUGUUUUGGGUAAACAUUUCCACAAAUUGUUACGGCAAGUAUUCACAGUGAGAGCUCAAAUAACAGUCAGCUGUAAGUCAUCCACGGUGACCACAUUAUCUAUGAACCCCGGGCCUUUCUGCGUAAAGGUAGGUAACAGGUAAUGAAAGAUCCAUCCUCGCGUUUUGUUACAACACAAACGCUGCUGGACAGGAAAUGACAGAAGCGACCUGACAGGCUCAUCUGCAGCUAUGGAGUACCUACAAUGCAGAUAAAGGACACGGUUCCUACUCCUGACACACACCGACUUUACCUUUGAUGGAUUCACCCUGCACCUAAAGGUCCAUCCCCAUCCUCUCCACUCCUCCUCAUUUCCCCCCAAAAGACGAUCACCGGGCCCUCACCUCGACUUCCGCUCCCCGCCGCAUCCCCCGAAGCCCGAUACGCCAGCCAGCCCGCCAGGACGCUGCUGUCACCCGCCCCACCGACCGAACAGAGCGCGGCCUCACCCCACGCGACAAAGCCGACCCUCCGGGGUCUCACCACCUUCGCAGCUCCGCUCUCCUUCCGGCGGAAAAAGAGUCUCUUCCGGUUUCCGGGACGUGGGGAGGAAGUCCCGCCCCUCGCAACUGCGUACUGCGGCGGGAGGUGCGGAGGCUGCGCGCGCGGGCUCGAGAGCGUCGCGCGGUCACUGCUCGAUGUUCACAGCAGCUUUGUUUGCAAUAGCACGAAACUAAACAACUCAAAUGUUCAUCAACAAGUGAAUGGAUAAACAUAUUUUGGUAUGUUCAUACAAAGCAAUACUGCUCAGGAAUAAAAACAAGUGAACUCUUGUUAGGAUUAUUUACAUACUGUAUGGAAUCGGCCAAGGGCCAAAAGCCUGUCAUCUCCUUAGCUGGAAACCGUGUACCACUCCUCACUCCCCUCCCCUUUAUCCGAUAUCUCGAAAGGCUCAGCUUCCCUCAUGGCUGUCCCUCCUCAGACCCAUCCAGAGGCUCCUGCAGAGUCCUAGCGGGCAACCAACACUGCUCAGUCUAGAAUUCAAGACUCUCCAGAAGCUGCCUCUGUCUAGAUAUCCAAAUGAACGCCCUCAAACCACCUUAGUGGGUUCCACAGAAUAGCCUGUGAGUGGCGCUACCUAAGGAAACAAGGAGAAGGCAGAAAACUUCUGGACCUGCCAUCUCUCUCCAUUUCCUGGUAGGUAUUUUCUCUUCUCUAGGCUGCUUUAAUAAUGGUUCUCACGCUGUCCCAUUUUUCCCCCCACUUAAUCACAUUAAAAUAUCUUUAAGGGGGCUUGGCAAUAUCUUUGCAAUUACAGACCCCAGGCAGCAAGGGAAAGGUAAAGAAUGCGUAUUUUUGUAUCUUUUGCAAUCAGAAGAUAACUCUACCUUCUCAGUCCUCCCCCCACUCCCAUUUACCCUCUUUCCCAAAUCUGUCCCACAUAAUCUUCCCUCCUGUUCGUAUGGGUCCGUCUGGGCUCUUGUUUAUGGCCACUCCCUUCACCUGUGAACUAGAUUCCAUCUCCUCUCAACCAUUCAAGGACUAUGAUCCUGCAAUUCUUCCUCUCUCUUUCCUGAGUUGUCAAUUUUUCCCUCUCUACUGGACGAUUCCCCUCAGUUUACAGAUAGGUCAUAAUAACUGCCAUCAUUGACAAAGAUACCGCUUCCUUGGCCCAAUAUCCUACUGCAGCCACUAUUCCAUUCCUCCACUUUCAUUUACAGAAAUACUCCUUGAAAUUAUAGACGCAUUGUCUUUAUUUUCUCACCUUCUAUUCUGUCUUUAACUCACUCCAAUCUGAUUUUCAUCCCCAUCACUGAAACCAUUCUUGCAAUGACUCCCAUAAUUCCUCAAUCUUGACAUUGAAAAAUGCCACAGACGAUUCACAGUCCUCAUUCAGCAUCAGUGGAAAUAGCUGAUGUCUCCCCACUUCUUGCCAUUCUCUUCAGCCGUUCCCGGGACACCACCCUCUCCUGGUUUUUCUCCUCCCUCACUGGCUGCCCUUUCUCAGUUUCCUUUGCUGAAUUCUCCUCCUUUUCCUCCUAACCUCUAAUGUUAGAAUAGCCCAGAGUUUGGUCCUCUUUCCUACCUACACUGACAGACUUUUUUCCUCAAACGUAAUGACUUUAACUAUCAUCUCCAUUUUGAUGCAGCUCAAAUGAACUCUUUAGUCCUGAGGGCUUCCCGCAACUCUAGACACAUACAUCCAAACGUUGACUUCACAUCUCCAACUUGACGUACAGUACAUAUCUCAAAUUUAGCAUUUCUAAAAGUGAACUCUUCUGCCACCCUCAAACCUGCUCAUCCCAUAGUAUUUCUCAUCUUAACGUCGUACCAUCACUCACCCAGCCACUUAGGUCAGAAACCUUUUUCAAGCUCUUUCAAAUACACUCUACAUCCAACCUAUCAGCAAAUGAGUUCUACCUUUAAAAUAGGUUCUGAAUUUGACCACUUCCUUCCCCCAAUGUAAUUACUAACCUGCUCCCAGCCACCAACAUCUUUGCCUGGAUUGCCAGCUGAGAACGCUAACCAGACACUCUACUUCUACCCUUGUUUCUCUACUCCACACGGAAACCAGAGUCGCUCUGUUAAAUCACCAGCCACUCUUCUGUGCCAAACUGCCCAAUAACUGCAUCUCACUUUUAAAUAAAAUCCUAAAUCUCUGCCAUGGUCUGCAAGGCCCAACACGAGAUCUCUGCCCCAGAUGCAUCUCCAGCCCAUCUCCCAUUGUUCCCCUUGCUCUUACCACUUCAGACAUUCUGGCUUUCUUGUUAUUCCUCAAGUAUGCCAACUGUGUUCCUACCUCAGGGCCUUUGUACUUGCUACUCUCCCUGCCUGGAACAACCAUCCCCUAAAAUACAUACACGACCUGCACCCUCACAUCACUCUGGAGCAGGGUUACCAGAGAAAACACAGGCUUUGGGUAAUAUACCUAGGAGUGGAAUUGAUGGGUUAUAUGGUAGUUUGAUGUUUAGCAUUUUGGGGAACCACCAAACUUUUCCAUAGCAGUGGCACCAUUCCAGUUUCCCCCAGCCAUGUACAAGGGUUCCAGUUUCUCCAUUUCCAGGUCCUGAGUGAACAGUGAGUCCUUCCGUUCUGAAGAUUGUUGCCCUUCCACUCUGAGAAAUUCUCUCCCUCUCUCUAAUUCCCUCACUUCUAUUAUUUAUGUUCUUUAUUCCUAGAAUUUCUGUUAAUUCAAGCUUGAACUUCCUGAUUGAUUUUCUGUCUCUUUUCUCUCCUUUUAUAUCUCUGUUUUCAUUCUGUUUAGUUGAAGAUUGAUUCAAUUUUUAUCCUCAUGCCCUUCUAUUGAUUUAAUUUUAGCACUGAUUUUAACUUUCAGAAGCUUUUAUUCUUUGUUACUCUUUCCUAGCAUCCUGAUACUGUUUUUUUUUUUUAAAGAUUUUAUUGUUUUCCUUUUUCUCCCCAAAGUCCCCCAGUACAUAGUUGUAUAUUCUUCAUUGUGGGCCCUUCUAGUUGUGGCAUGUGGGACGCUACCUCAGCGUGGUUUGAUGAGCAGUGCCAUGUCCGCGCCUAGGAUUCGAACCAACGAAACACUGGGCCGCCUGCAGCGGAGCGCGCGAACUUAACCACUCGGCCACGGGGCCAGCCCCCUGAUACUGUUUUAAGGGUGCAGUUUUCUCACUGUGUGUGUGUGUGUGUGUGUGU